UGUAAAAAUAUUACAAUUUUUUCAGUUAUUAAUUUUAUGUGUAUGGACAUUCUGCCUUCAUGUCUGUCUGUACCAUAUAUACCUGGUACCUGUAGAGAUAGGAAGAGGUUAUCAAAUUCCCUGAGACUGCAGUUACACAGUUGUAAGUUGUCAUGUAGGUAAUAGGAAUAGAACCCAGGGCCUCUGGAAGAUCACCAUCCAUCUCUCUAGCCCCAAAUUAAUGCUUUUAAUAUGUGUGGAAAUGUUUAACAUUUUGCUAAAUUAUGACUGAAAAAUUAACAUGUACCUACUAUUUUUUGAUGAUUUAUCUUUGAGGCUCCAUACAUAUUUUUGAAUGCUUUUACCUUAAAACAGCUAUUAAGUAGGAAAAUUGAAGUUUAAACUAGAAUUUUCACUUUCAUGAGAUAAUUUUGUAUUUUGCAAAUAAGUGCCUCCAUGUUGAAAUGUAUUCUUCUGUAAAUUUUGAUGUCACUGUAUCAUUUACUUAUUCACUUGUACAGUGUGAGUAAAGCAAACAUACACCUUCCCACAAAAUCUGAUCCUUUCUCAUCAGCUCUCUACAUCAUCAUCUCUUCUGCUUUUCCCUGUCCUCCGUUAGAGCUGAAAGAACCUCCUCCAAAUAAAAGGUUAAUCAUUUUCUCUUAGACAUUUAAAUUCAGACUAACCUUUUUGGGGGAUAGGGGAUAUACAGUGCAACAUAUUAAUAAUAUUAUUUCAAUAAACCUAAAGAACUGGAAUCAGUGCAGUGGUGAAUAGUCAUGUACAGGAUACUUAGACCAAAGGUGACAUCUCAGACUUCCUUUCUUGUAUGUUGUGAUUUCAGUAUAUUCAUCAGUAGCAAGUAUCUUAAAGUCAGAAAUAACUAAACAUAAUUUUAAUAUAAAAACUGGUUUCCUCAGAAACUUUCUUAGUUUUGAUAAGUCUGUUGAGUGGGUAAUGCAUUAACAAAAAUAAAUAUUUAUUAUCAUUUUAUUUUUAUCUAUUAUCAAACUUGAUGUCUUGUCAUUCAGAGGUAGAGAUGUUCACAGGUGGUUUAUUUUACCACUUUAUGUGUUUUCACAUACUAAAUCCUGGCCUAAACACUUCCUCCAUAAGUGUUAGUUUACCUAAUAUUCUCCAUGUUAAAAUGGUGUCUUCAUUUUACAAGUGAGAAGGUAAUGGUGCAAGUAUUUAUGUCUUUAGUUGGGGAGACAGAUUUGUAAGAAAAGUAGGUAGCAGUCUUGAUACUCAGAAGCAACAGAAUGCUGUGCAGGAUCUGGGGAAAGGUGGGUCUCUUAGAAAAGGACCAAGGGCCGAGCUGGCCCAGUAUAAAGAGCAGCAUGCCCUCCUUCCAGGUCCUCUGGAAGCCCAGGGCAGAUGCUCUCAGGUUUCAGCCGAGAGUUCAGCCUGCCAGGUGGAGGAGACUCCUGCUCUAGGGCUGCAGGAGCCCUCAUGUCUUUCUCCUUCUGGCGUUUUCUGGCUGACUCAGGCAGUUUUGCCCCAGAAGAGUUUUCCUUCUCCCUCAGUUGGAAGCCUGAGCUUUGAAAAUAAUAGGGAAUUUUUCUUCUGCCAGGUUUAACCUCAGGCCAUUUCAUCCUCCCUUGCCCUUUGUAUAUUCCUGUGAAAAUAGUAGUGGUUUAUAUGUGAGCAUUGUAUGAAACUUAAGAGAGUCAUAGUAAGUAACAGAAUUAAAGGGCAAAGCAGUCUUUUUCUGUUUGAAUUCACUAAAGAAAGUGAGAGAUCAGUUAAGUGUAGAAAAAAGGGAGAAAAACAUUGUGGAAAUGAAGAGAUAAAUUGGGAGCAGGAGGAUGAUGGGAAAUGAAAGGAGAGAAUUGCUGAUUUGCUUCACACCCACACCUCCUCCCCAAAUUCACAGUAACCGGCAAUGUCACUUUCUUUUGCAUGACAUGUGCUGAGCCAGGGAGUUGAGAAUCAAUCGUGGGAGUGGAAAUUUUCUUCCUUUUGCAUUUUGAGACUUGGGUGUGCUGCUAAGAUGCCACUGGUAUCUAAGUAAUGUUUGUUUAUACUGGAUAUUUUCUGUGUAGCCUUUGUGGACGGGGCUUACAAUACAAACAAUACUGUUAGGACUGCAGGUACUCCAUUGCUAUGUUUAUUUUACUAGUUAAAAAAUUGCCAGAGCCCUACGACUUGUGAGUGAGCACAUUUAGAAAACACCAGAGGCAACUUUAAGAAGAGCUUCAGUAAAAAAGACAGAAAAGAAAUUAAGACUUAGUGCUUUAGAAUGCUGACCAACAUGGAUGUUUUUCUUCAGAGAGUAUAAAUUAAGGCCCAGCAUUUUGAAACUUAAAUGUUAAGUAGUUUUUUUUUAAAUAUUGCCUUCUUAAUUGCCUAGAUGAAAGUGUAGCACUUUUGUUCCACAGAGUAUAAGGUUAAAGUUAGGAAGAAUUUGGAGGGGUUUUAGCCCUAUUUUUAAAUUCCAUUUUGGUCAUGUGUAAAGAUCCUUGAUCAGAUCUAGAUUUGUUUUCCUGAUCUGUGAUUGUAAUAAGACAGAGUAAUUGAAAUUAUGACCAUCUCACAAAAUGUAAGAUACAUUGCCAGUCUUAUUUUUAACCUUUCUGGUAACUCAUUUUAUGCCUCAGUCUUACUUUUUAAUCUUACUAGUUGUAUAAAAAGUAGAUUACUCAUUUACAUUUUUGAAAAAAUAUUCUCUUUAAAUAACAAAAUGUUGAGUUGGAGAAAGUAAUUUCUAAGUGAUUGUUUGUACCCCAGGUGGAAAAGCAUCUGACAGGGUUUAUUUAGAUCCCCAUUCAUGGAAUAACGAUGCUUUUCCAGCCAUUAUGUAGCCUUGGCAGUCUGUUCAAGCACUCUUGAACUCUAGGAAACAAAAAGGGGCAGGCAGAUUUUCUUAUUUUUCCUUGUAUCUAAUUCUUGUACUUGUCAGUUCUUUGCUAUUGUCAUGGAAACUUUUCUCCUCCUCUGACACUGUUUUCAUUAGACUCUAGAUUGCCACCGUGCCCAGUUUUUCCACAUUAGGUGGAGUUGGAACCUGGGCCUAUGAGUGUGUAAAAAGGGUCCCAUGCUUUCUUGGACUCCCCUCCCAGAAAAAUGAGCUGUAUGAGUGCUGCUUGUUUAUUGCUGUUUGUUCCUGUGUCUGUGCUAUUCAUCUGGCCUGAACUGUGUCUUUUAACCUCUACUCUUAAUGCUCAAUUUCACAAGAGAAAUUUGAGUCAGUCACACUAGAAAUGUCAGCUAUCCCUAGUGGCUCAGUUCACCUUCAUCACAAACCUACUGAGUGCAUAUUAAAUAGGUAACUAUUCUUUGAAUAGGAUUUUUUUUUAAUCUUGCAGGUAUAUAGUUAUUUCAUGAAAAUUUUGAAAAUUCUUAAUUGAGCCACUGAGCUUUAGAUAACCCAAAACACUUUUAGUCAAAUAUUAACUUUACAUAAAACUCUCCUGAAAUUUUCAAGUAAGCAAGCUAUUUCCAGUUAAAUUGCUCAUUUUCUUAUGAAAUGAUAGAGAGUUGUGAAAGCUGACUUUUGUACUGGUUUUCUAUGUUCUUUACUGCUAUUUGUUUCCAGAAAAAGGUAUGUGAUCCUCCUUUGUUCCCUGCUUGCAUCCCACAUUUCUUACCAAGUUGCACUGUAGACAGGUUCUUCUAUGGGAUGCUGUAUAAGUUAGCUUCUAACUGCAAUACUGUCAAACAGCUGUGUAAUGCUGCUAUUUUAAAAAAACGUGGGUGUGGAAAGUGAUGAUGAAUGAAUUCAUGGUAAUUGGUGACUUUGUAUUAAGAGAAAAAAAUCACUAGUUAAGAGAAAUCUGCUUCCAUGAUUUGUAUAUCUUUAAUUUUAAAAUCUUUCAACCCUCCUUUACUCUGUUCCCACUGUUUCAUAAAUUAGAAAUUAGAAUCAUGACACUUUAUAGCUGUAAAGAUUUUUGUAGAACAUUUUAUUAACCCUCUUGUUGAGAAAAUUGGCAUCCAGUAUAGUCUAAUGAAAUCAGAUAGCUACCUGGUAUAAAAGCCCAAAUAACAUUUUAGUAAUUAGUUUCCAUUAGUAUAUACUGUACUAUUUAAGCUUCCUUAACUUUCUAAUAAUCAGAAAAUGAUAAUAGGGAAACAUAACUAGUAAGGACAUACAAACUUUGUCUUUUUACACACACCUUGGUCACUUCUCCAGGAAAGUCUGAGGAACAGGUAUUGCUCUUUCCUUUCAUAGAGAAAGUAGCUUAGUCUCAAAGUUACAGAGCUCUCCUAGGCCCCAGGUGUCUGCUAGGUAACACUAUGGGCCUGGUCUUCUUGUUAUUUAAGAUUCACCAGCUGGUCUUGGAGAGUUCUCACAGGACACAGAGGGGAGCAGCAUCUUCAUAUUGUGACUUUGGCUGUCUUUGUUGAGUUGUAAGCUCCCAAAAUAUGCUAAUUGUUAAUAAGAUUUGUCCUAAGAAUUAAGACAAAUUACCAAUGUCUUCUUGAAGAUUCAGCCAGCAUAUACUGAGUACCCACUUUCUGCAGUGCACUUCUUGGGGCACUUCAAUAGAUUCAGUAGAUAGACUCAUGACCACGGGCAAAGACUAAAGGUUGUUUCUUUCCUUUCAAAGACUUACCUUUGUAGGGAGGUGUGAAAGAUACUAGUCCCUAUGUCUGAAAUUGGUCAGCUUUUUCUAAAUAUUUGUACUUAAGUUCAUAUUAAAGUAAUGUACACCAUAAGAAAAGCAGGGAAGUGAGUUUUCAAUACAACAACAGUUAUAUGACUUGGUUAUUGUCGUGACUUUCUUUUAACUUGAUAGUAUAGCUCUUACUCUGUCAUCACAUAACUUUCAAAGCAUUGCCAUAAGUGCUUACAGAAUGAAUCAGUUUGGAAGUAUGACAUUCUGGAUAGCUUAUGGCAAUUAAUUAUUAUUAAAGACUCAAAAUUAACCUUGCCUUUAUAAAUGUUUUCAAAAUAUGAGUUAAGUAGUAGACUACUCUAUAAUAUUUAAGAAUACUAGCUCAUAUAUACGUAUGUAUAUACAUGCAUGCGUGUGCACAUGCGCGCGCACACACACACACACAUUCUGAACAAUUGGUCUAAGUUAAAAAUAGAUGCUUUCCAGUUACUGAUAUUAGUUAACAAACUUUUUUUUAUUAUUGUUAGUUUCAUUUUUGUUUUUAAUAAGGUCUUAUUCUGUUAUCCAUGCUGGUCUUGAACUCUGGUACUUCUAAAACUGCAAGUGUGUAGCAUCCCCAACUCAAAUAUUUGUGUUGAUACAGUUUCCUGUGUGUAGCGCUGCCUGACUUGAAACACCCUGUAUAUUCUUUGUAGCCUCAGCUUCUGCUUCCUGAGUGCUGUGAUUGCAAGUGUGCUCUAUCUUCCAUGCAUGGUAAAAUAAAUAUUUUUUAAAGGCAGCAUUUCUUAUAAAAUUGCUCACAACUGAAACAACAUAUUAUCCUGAAGGAAUAAUACUGAUCAUGCUGAGUUUUUACAGUGUGGGAAUUAUAGCUUUAGUUUUGUUUCUUUUUUAAAGUAAUUCAGUAUUUGAGCUCAUUUCUGCCAUGUUAUUGUUACACUAAAACGUAAAUGCACUUGAUACUCCUUUAGAAGCGUGCUAUAUUUCAGCAGAAGCAGGAGGGUAUAUCUAUCUAUUCUUUACAAGGAAUCUAAUGGAACAAGACUCUGGAGGGAAGAGCUGAGCCAGCAGUCCGUGAUCUGAGGGAGGUUGCCUGGGAACUGCUGACAGUGAGGUAAAAGGAAUGAGCCUAGGUGGAUAGAAUGGGGUGGGAAAGUCCCCUAUUAGCCUGGAGGCUGGGAGGCCCUGACCUUCUGGAAUGUUCCACCUUAGUAGGAAUACCAGGGAAAGUAAGAGAGAAGAACUACUUGCAGAUGGGGAUGAGUGGAGAAUGAAUGAUAAGACUAAUACCCUUGAGAAUAUCUAAAACCUUGGCUUGGAGAGCAAACCAAUUCUAUUUCAUCGUAAAGGGUGUUUUUAGCUCUUAGCUCUUAAUUUUGUUGGUUAAUAUUUUUAUGUUAAUUUUAUAAUGAAAAUACAGUUAUUAUUAAACUGUUAACUGUCCUUAUUUAUUCAAAUGCAUGCCUUCCCGUACUCCACAAAUGCUCUAGAACACCAGAACAGAGGAGUGAACAGUGAGCCGUGGAUGUGAUUUCAGUGCUGCAAAUCUGGUGUCUACAUCAGCAUUGUGUUGAUGAUGUUUUUCCUGGUAGCUGCAUUACUAUGUUAUGACAGGGAUAAGAUGAAAGCAUGGUAGAUAUCGGUUGACAUGCAAUAAAUACUUAGGUCUUAGUUGAACUGAGGUUUUAAGUCUGUACAAGACAUUUGGUAGGCAGAGGCAAGAGAAUCAGGAUUUCAAGGUCAGUCUGGGCUAUAUGAGAAACCGCACCCAAAUAAAAAGGCAUAAAUAUGAGUAUGUAUACUUUCUUUUUUAUUUAUUUUGUACUGCCAUUUUAGUAAAGAAUGAUAAUUGAACAAAGUAAUUAUGUUCACCUCUUGACUAGGGGAGCAUUUAGUUUUAAAUUUAAAGUCUUUACUAUCCAAAAUAAUGGUUUUCUUCCUAGAAUUUGAGUUUCUCGGUUGUUUGCAUGAACAAACUUCAUGAGAAGUUGUUCCUAGUAAAUUCGCAUAGUUUUGUUCCUUUUCACAGAGCCAGGAUAACAGGUAGGUUUUUAAUAGUUUUACUUCCAACAGCAAUCAAGCAAGUCAAAAGAAGAUUCAUGGGUGUCAUGAUUAGCUGAAAUGUAAUGAGGACUAACACAAACCCUUAGACUAGCUAAGACUGUGAGGAAAACUAGACAUAGAAGAAUGAGUCAGAGAAGGUGGAGUUGGGAUUUGAAGUUCACAGUUAUGUUUGUACAGUUAGCUAUUCUGUGUCAUAUGAGUUCUAUGUAUGCUUUCAACAAAAGGAAACAGACCAGUUAGUGUUUGUUCUGUACAGGUACAUUAAAAUAAAAACAAGAUAGGUUGAAUACCAGUACUGUUAAAGCAGAUUCCUAGACCCUAGGGUUACAAGGGCAGAAGGAUGCAGAUUCUGAGCACUGGACCCUUUGCUGACAAGGGACCUCCCAUUCUUGGAAUAGCAAUAUAAACAUGCAAACUGAAGUUGGGAGGUUACAUGGAUAGCAAGGAAAAAGGUAGAAGAAAGUGUCAUUUUCUGGAGGUGCAGGGCAUUUUGUACUUUCUUCUCAUUUCCUUAACUAGCUAAGAAAAAGUUUUAAAAGAUUUUUUAGGACCAGUCUUAAAAGUCUCCACAAGAAUGAGUUAAUCCUUUAAAUAGUUAAAACAGAAAGGAUAUGAGGAAGAUUCCAAGAUGACUGAUCUAUACUUUGGGCUGGCAGACUUAGGAACCUUGAACUGCUCGUAGUUUUGGAGUUGGAAGUUUAUUUUCUAUAUUUGAGGGUUGUGUAAGACUGAUUAGGAUCUAAUGUACUAAAUGAAAUUGAAUCUUAUUCUUUCAUAUUUGUUCUUUUUAAAAACAUUCAUAUUUUCUAGAUGAUGGCAAAAUAUUUUGGUCAUAAGCAGACUUGCUUUGUUCAGAUACUUUUGGUCAGUGGUUCUCUGCUGGAAAAGUGUAGCAGAAGCAUUUGAUAGCUUUUGCCAGGUGUACACACCCAACAGCUUCUCAUCUUUUUGAGUAAAAGUUGGAGAAUCAGUGCAGCAAAAUGAAAUCCAGAGAAUGGGAGUGGAAUUCAGAACAUUCAGAUGUGGAGUUAAUGUGCGUCACUGCUGCCAGCCCUUGCUGCCAGCGAUAGGUUCUGUGUUUUUCCAGUGGGAAACUCUGACCCACAGACUGAUGCAUGCGGACCCGCACUCCUCGCUCUUUGCUGCUUUUCUCCUGGUUGUAGCUUAUUCUUCCAGAAGAUCAAUUGACUGUACAAAGCCUCUGGAAGCAGAUUUCAGAACAAAGGUGAUCUGUGCAAGCAAUACACUUCACCGCCUCCCAUGAUUAGCAAGAUUAAUAAAGUUCAUCAAGUUCCUUCUCAUUUCUGGGUAAUAUCAGAAUCUUUCUUGUGAAAAAACACAAAACAGUGUGAUACUGUUUUAGUUGUUACACUCGGUGAUUUCUUGCAAGACUGACCGCAAUAGCUAAAUCUUGGAUUUGGUGAAUUUUAGCUAACGGAUGCAACUCUUGAAAAAUAUAAAUGCUUAUACAAGAAGUCUGUAAAUAAAGGAAAAUUUACAUAAGCAAGUUAAGAAAUGCCACAGCUGAAUAUGUAAAUAAAUACUCAAUGUCAUAAAACAGUAUCAUAAUCCCCCCAGUUAGUAGGUCUUUAUUUACUGGCAGGAUGUGUAAGCUAAUGUCGUCAAAACAUCCUGGCCCUGUCUGGAUGAAGAUUUAUUUGCUCUGAAUGUAACUGUACAGAAAUGAGUCAGAGAAUUUGUAGAAUUUGCAAAUUCAAAUGUUCACUGUUGAGCAUUCUGGUUUUGACACAGUAGAUCUUUCUAAGUAUAUACCAAGGUAUAACAUGCAUUCUUCCCACCAGCCUGGUCCUGCAGCUGUCUCAGCUCCCAAAUAACACAGGAAACACUAUAUUAAUUAUGAAGCUGUUGGCCGUUUGCUUGGUUUCUUAUAGACUAGUUCUGACUUAAUUAUUAACCCAUAACUGCUAAUCUGAGUAUUUCUACGUGGCCUUCCCUUACCAGAGAAAGAAUCUGGACCUCUUACUCGUCUGGUGUCCUACAUCAUUACUGACUGUGCCUCUGUUUCCCAGAAUCCUCCUCGACUCCUAGUCCCACCUAUCUUGCUUCCCUAUUGGCCAACAGUGCUUUAUCUAAUAAACCAUUAAGACAACAUAUACACAGAAGCACUUCCCCAUCACCAAGGAAAUCAUUUUGCUAAAUUAUUUUGCUUAAUUUUUAAUUAUUUCCUUCAAUUAAAAUUAUUUGGGAAUUAAUAACUUUAAAGUAUGAACUGCCUAGGAAAUAUAAUUUUUGUAAAUAUUUUAUGUUUUUGAUGGCUUUCUUGGUCAUAUCAGCUAUAUAAUUUUAAUAAGUAAAUCUGUAUUGUACCUAAAAUGUAAAGUUCCAACAGUCCAAAACUGAACUACAAGUAGAAAAUCUGCAUAGAUUCUUCAUAGGAUAAGGUCUAUCUAUAUCUUGGAACAAUCUUCCAAAUUUCCACAUUAUAGCUUUGAAUUCUGGGGUUGGUUUCAUUGGUUUCUUACAGUUCAGGCUAAAUCCUUGAAUAAUUUUAAAAAAUCAUAAUGAGUUCUUCAAAUUUCAAAAUUUAAGGACACUUUAAAAAUGUAAAUUCAAUUAAUCACAAUGAAAUCUACUAAAGUAUAAUUUAUCUUUUCUUUUUUAUACAAUAGAAUCUGUUGUUAGUAUGAAUUUAAUUAUUAUUGAGUGUUUUUAUUCGACUAGCUAAUUAAAGCCACUUUAAAAAUAUACUUGAGGUUAUCAUCUGAGAUGGUAGUAAAUCUAGAGCGAGAGAAGUUAGAGUUGCAAGAAUAAUUGUUUGUUAGAUUUAGAUGUCAAUUCAGUACUAACAUGUUUAAACACUGUAUUGCUUCAUUUUUGAGAGCCCCUUCUGAAGAAGUCUUUCUGAUCUAGUUUGUGUCCAUCUUCUGCUGUGCUCGCCUCCUUAAUUUUAGUCCAUUGUGUCCUUCUCUGACCUCGGUUCCUUAUUCCACUCAUCACUACUCCCAAGCACAUACGUCCUUGCGUACUUGCACACAUACACAUGCAUGAACACUGUACUUUGUUUUGGGUUCUAAAUAGCACUUCCUUGGGGAAGAUUUCCUUUAUUACCCCUUUUGUGCUGUAUUCUUAUUUGUCUACAAGUUACUGUCCACCAUGUGAAUGCAGAGGAAACAGCAAGUAAAUGAUCAGAAGUUGUAUCAAUAGGAAACAAGGAAAUAUUCAAGUAUACAGUAAGACAGUCCCAGAGAGAUAAGCAACAACCAGGUGAUUCUUGUAGGAAAUGGUGGUCAGUUUAGAAUAUACUAGUUGACAUUAGAUUACUAUUUGUUUCUAUGAAACAUACUUUGGAUUUUGAAUUUAAUUUAUAAUACCUUAUACUUAAAAUUUGAUUGUACCAGAAUUUUUUUUAAGAUUAAUGAUUAUUGGCUUUCUUUAGUAAAUGCCUCACAUGUAGGAAGGCUAGUGAAGAUAUACAUAGAAAAAAAUCUUUGCCUCUUGUGGUACUAAUAGGUGGAGUGAGACAGUGUUAGGUGGACCAAUGACCAACAUUGCCUGAGAUCAGUCUUUCCAGAAAAUUCCAUGCUAAGAAGAGGAAAAACAAUAAACACUCAGAGCAUUUUUUUCCAACUCCAGUAUACUAUACAAAUGAGCCAGGUUGGAAUAAUUUGUUUCACAUUCCUUUACUCUGUCUGUGGGCUAUUAAAGAACAAGAGAAUUUAGGUAAUGAAGGGGAACUAAAAAUCAAAUCUGUCCACAACAAAUGAUUUAAACUUAGGCAGAAGAGCAUCAUUGAGGAAGUCUGUACAAAGGGGAUAAGGACCAUGUAUCCUUGAGCAUUCAGUGUUCAUUUAUCCAACCCACUGUAAAGACACUCCUCUGGUAGUUUGUUGGGGCUGGAGGGUGUGGAGAGUAAAGAAGGGGUAGGAGAGGGGAAAAAAAGCAAGGAAAGAUGCUUACAAACACCUUUACUUCCCCUGAGUGCCACUACUUGCCUUUCAGCAAUUUUCCCUGUGAAGACUGAAGUAAUUAUGACAAAAGUAUGUUGCUGCCUGGAGUACUGGUAGCAUUGAUAAAAUUGUAGAUGCCAUGUGCCAAGCACUGUUCUGAGUGAUUUGUUGUAUCUGUCAUAGAUGAAUUACCACAGUAGCACUGGAAAGAAAGUGAAAUCUUACUUUCAUAAAUGAGGAAACUGAGACCCAGAUGGUUGAGUUACUCAGCUUUUCAGGAAGUGGCAGGGAAGCUAAAGUAGGAAUAUAAGUUACCAAGGCUCACAUGAUAAAGACAAAUCAGUUUGACCUGGGCUGUGAAGACAUGUGAAGCAUAGUCUCCAUAUGGAGAGGGGAGGAAAUGAAAUACAAGGAAGGUGUGGAGGAGAAACAUUGGAGUUCAAGGUGGAUUACCUAGAUUGGCUGGCCUGCUGCAGGUAAGAAGGUAUCUGGAAGCAUAUGGUGAGGAAAUAAGCUAGAUUAUUUGUGAAGUUUGAAAGUGUGCAAAAAUAGCUCUCCAAACUUAAUGGCAAGCUACACUUUAAAGGGUGUUGAAUUAUAGUUUAAACUUACUAUGCAGACUUGUUUUGUGUCCCUUCAAAGCUGCAAACAAGGGACACCACUCUUGCUGCAUCUGUAAAUAGGCUGCUAUCUGUUUUCCUGUCUUUUUGUGGUUGUAAAGAAUCAUUCAUGCCAGCAUAGUUAAUGAGCUUCAACAGCUGUUGAAUGAAAUUAUAUAUUCUGUUCCAUAAGGGCCUUCUCAUGCUGCCAUCAUUUCCUGCCUGCCUUGGUGUCUUUAGCACCAGGCUACUUCUAGGUCUAAACAGUCAAGUUCUUCUCCAGAGAGUAUGGGCUCUGGGUUAGAGGCCCUUUGGGCAAAAUUAGCCAUAGUGGGAUGCCCUGUUUCUAUUCCAUAACUCUCCUCUUCACCAAGAUCUCUAAAAAUUCUAGGGGGAAGCUGUUCAGUUUCCUAAUUCUUUUUGAACAAAAUAAUAAUUUACCAAAUUGUGCAGGAACUUUUCCAGGUACAGAACUUCACCUUCAUAGGCUUAGUGAAGGAUGUGAAUGAGACUUGAUUUUCUCCUUCAAAUAUGUUUCUAUUGCACCCCUAUUUUGUAGUUUCUUGGGUGACUUUCUCAUCUGUUAUUACAUAGGAUUUAAACUUCUCUUUUCAGUACUAGGAAUUGAAACUAGGACCUUGUGCACAGUAGAUAAGUAUUGUAUGUCAUAACCCUAUCUAUCCCCAGCCUGAAUCCAAACUUGAACAUUCAGUCUUCCUUAAGGAGUUCUCUGAGGUGACCACUUUUCUCUAGUUCUUAGAAAAGGUAAGCCAACUACUUGGUGUCACCAUGGAGUAACUUCUCAUUUUGCUUACCUGUCCUGGGCUGGACUCUGGAAUUUGCCUCCAUGAUAUAGCUGGUGGUUAUGGCCAGCAUUUUUUGCUAGAAACAAAAGAAGUGCAUGUUGACAAAACCAGCACAAUUUCUGUCCAGGCAUAGGAGAUGAUGAAGCUUGGCUGUCUUCAUGUGUUAAAUGCUCCUCUGCAAUGAAAGCAUGUAGUUCCUUGCCUUUUGCAUUGAAAAAAAAUAAUUUCAGGGUUUCCCACAAAUAUUUCUGCAUACAUUUCCAUAAAAUAAAUAUUUGGUAGACAUAAUUGAUUGCCUUCUGUGUAAAAAUGAUAUUUUUUUCUAAACCUAGAAGAGUAUUAAUUUAACCAAUUAAGUUAUAUUUCAGAGUAAAACAUAAGAAAAUCAGAAGGUAAGCACCGGAAGCAAGGGUAUUUUAAUAAACAGAUGUACAUGUACAACUAUACUCUUUUAGUUUUUUUCUAUUUAUUUGCAUCCCUGAUUCCAUAUGGAUUUUCCAUAAAUGACCACUGCUUUAUUUAAACAUUUUAGCUGCUUUCAUAAUUAAGUGUGAGUAAUCCAGUAGUGGUAUUCUGCUUAUUCAGUCACUGUGCUAGUUACUUUCCUCCUUGCUGAGAUUAAAUAGCCAGUCAAGGACCAAAUUGAAGGACCAGGAGGUAUCUGGUCACAUAUCGGCAGUCACAAAGUAGAGAGAGAUGAAUCCUAGAUCUUGCCUUAGCUUACUUUUUUCUUUUCACUAAGUUUAGGACCCUAGCCCAAAGCAUGGUACAGUGCCAAAUACAUUCAGAAUGGGUCUUCCGAUCUUAUUUAACUGAAUAUAGGAGGAGAAAAAUCCCUUAUAGGAGUUCAUAGAGGUUUGUUUCUAUGCUUAUUUUAAAUUCCACCAAGUUGGUAGUCAAAGUUAACCAUCACAGCUCAUACAUCUGCCUUCAAAACUAUGGCAAUAUAUGAAUUCACAAUCUUUUCACUUUUGCAUACCUUUUGAUGAUGGGGAAGUAAUUUCAGCAUGUGAUGAGAACAAUAUAAGGAGUGAAACACCACAGUCAAAAAAGAAUACCAUUCAAGCUUUCUGUGACUUAGUCUCUAUUGAUAUCAUUAAGGGUAUGUUAAAUGUAUAGUCUAGAGGCUCUCCCAACAUGUUCUAUAGCGAGAGUGUCAGUUGACACAUGGGCCACUUGGAAAUACUGCUUAACAUGUUUUCAAGUACUCUGUUGCCAUCUCAAUUGAAUUCAUUUCUGAAUUAAUGACUCUUCUUACAGAACUCAGAUAUAUAAUGCUAUAUAUCCAAGGGCUGCUUCAGAAGUAGUAUUUUUGUAGCUAUAAACAUUUGUUCUUCUAAUAUAGUAGGCAUUAAGAUAAAGUCUAUCCCUAGCACUAUGAGAAUACUCGCUUGCUGACUAAACAAAUAUGGCUUCCAGAAGGAAUUAUUAGACUCCAGCUAGCCUUACUGCUAGAAAGUGUUACUCCUUUUUUGGUACAUAGGUAUACACCUUUUUACUAAAUGAACAUUUUUUAGCUCUAGCAAAUAAUUGCUGUAUUUUCUAGUCAUUAUUAAAAGUUUCUCACCAUUUAUAGUUUUUGAAGACUAGUACCUGGACUUUGUGUGCACCUAUGCAGAUGUUCAUCUAAAAUUACAUUAGUAAAAGUCUCAGUAUCAAGAGAGUACAAGGCCCUGAGUUUCAUUCCCAGGUAUUGCAAUAAAUAUCAUAGAGAUUCUACUCCUAAGUCUAACUGCUGUACGUGAGUCACUACUGUGAGACAGUCUCAUCAUCAAGCUACUUUUACAUGACUGAACAGUGGUGACUUCAUUUCAGUAUUUCCUUUAGGCAGCUAUUUGGGAGACUCCCUUCCAAUAGAGGAAGUGGGUUGAUGAAAGCCAGUGUUUUCAUUCCAGAUCCUUCACAUCUCUGGAAAGCUGCAUCCUCUGUAGAAAAUAGAGCUGUAUGUGUGCCAGAGUGUAACCCUGACAUUCAUCAGGGAGGGGGAGGAGGUCACAUAAUGCCUUGUGUCUUUCAACAGUAAUCCUCCCAUUUGGCAAGGGUUAGACAGGAAGUAUUUAACAAUGGGAUUUUAUAAAAUUCAAUGUAGUAAUGAGUGUUUUUAUAUUUGAAUGAAUCUAAGGAAGUUUUCUUUUUCUCCCCACAAGUGAGUGAGGGUGUAUGUGGACUUGGGAGCAUUUACCUACUUUGUUGAACUUUGUGUAAUAUUUAUUCCACUUUGUCAUGCCCAUGAAGGAGAGUUGGCAGAAAAAAGCUGUAUAUAGUCUCUUCAUACUGAUCUCAGAUAUUUUGCUUAAGAGGAAUUAGUGAGGAAAUAACUGUCUCUUAGGAAGGUGAUUUUAUUCAACAACCUGAGGUCUUACAAUGGCUUCAACUAGACCAGAAACAAUGGAGUUAUUUUCUUUCACACAUGUACUAUAAAACCUGGUAGUUUUAAAGGCUUUGCACACAAAUAGCUUUAUAUUAAAAAUUAAAGUUAAUACAAACUAGAGGAAAAGAUACUCCUAUUAACAUUUCCUGCUUGUCCCCAGUCACACAAGUUUCUUAGGGAUAGUACCAGAGAUUUGGUUAGUAAUACCCAGAAGACAUCUGCCAAGGAACAAGGUGAGUCCUUUUCCUCCAAGACCCUAAUAGUUACAGGUUUGGAACACAAGAAUGAUGUAGGUCUUCACUGUCCAGUAAUCCUUAGUCACAGCUAAAGGGGAUAAAGAGAAUGAAGAAACAAAGAUUCAAAAAGGCAUGGAGAUCAUAAACCUGUCCAUGAAAGAUGUUCUGCUUCGUUGAGGACCAGCUAAAGGGUCACAAAUUUGGGAUGGCAUAUAUUUCUUUUCAGGCAUUUUCCCCCUAGUAUUUAGAUAAAAUCCUAGUAAAGGCACCAAGAAAAAAGAAUAUUGUAUAUUGGGAACCCCACUUAAGAUGAGAACUCACUGUAGGAGUCCACAGUUAUAUUAAGGGUGUUUUGUUGUUGUUUUUAAAUGACAGAUAACAGCCUUAUCUCUGAUCCUAUCUUAUCUCUACAGAGUCUGGUUGCCCCAUGACCUUAAAGUACUCAGGUCCACAAAAGUCUAGAAUACCUUUUAUCUCUGACCAUUAUCGACAUUUCUCUUUUCUCAGAUGUUACAGAUUGGUCUGUACAUUUCAGCUGUGGAGAGGCUGCUUUUAGGGAGGAAUUCUCAUAAUUUCAUUUUCCAGAUAAGCAAUUAUAUCCCAUUUAAACUAAAACAACUAACCCAAGAAGAUGAUUUUUGAAGUGUUUUUGUACUUUUGAUUUCUCUAAAGAAAAAAAAUAGGCCUCCCUCUGCCUUUUCAGCAGCAUUUUGGUACAUUUAGGCCAUGGUUAUAGAUAGCACUUGUGCUGUGCCUGUUGAGUGUAUUGAGGCCUCUGAUGUUUGGGCUUGGGACUGUAAUUGUUAGUCUUCCUGUGACAGAAUUGUGCUUUUAAAAUAUGGGGACUGUGCCUGCUACUUCUCUGUCCAUAAAUACUUAGUUAAUUUCUAAGGAUAGCGGCCUCUCCCUUAAUGUUGCCUUUUCCAGUCAGUGUUAUUCAGCUUAGGCUUAAUAGCAAUAAAAACAUCUUCUCACUUGAAUUGCUUUGCCCCAUUUGGUCCUUUUCUGUCCUGGCAUUAUCUGAAUUUGAAUAGGUCCUUAGAAGUCCCCUAAGCUUCACAGGAGCUAAGUCACCUCCACUGCAUAGUCAGUCUCUUGGACACACUAGUGACAUUAAUUUGGUUCAGUGUAUUAAUCUUUAGUUCAUGUCUUUGUGGACCCCAAGUCAUAAGCUUUUUAAGGUAUAUGUCUAGUUGAGGAGGCCAAUUACACUAGUUAUUUAGUGCAAUUGGCCAUCUUGAUAGAAGUUGCCAUGUUACACAGAAAAUACCCAAGCAAACUCCAGUCCAUGAGGACUGAAGCUCAGCACUCUGCUUGCCUGGUGCCUGUUACAGUUCUGGCUGAACUUCUCCACAAGAACAUCUUGAGAGACUUGGUCACUUAUGUAUUACAUAACACAUUUUCUCUGUCCAUCCACUAAUUAUAUUCCAAAAGAGGAAAUAAAAACUAGUACCCACAUCACAUAAAUUUCCUCUUACCUUCUCUCUUGCCCUAAGUUAAAAAUAUGAUUGCUACUCCAAGGCAGAGGAUUUCAGAUGUGUGUUCACUCAUAAAUACUUGUUAAUGUCUUAUUCUAAGUAGCACUUGGUGCUAAACAUUGUUGGUACAGCUGUAAAUAAGUCAGGUGCUCUCCCUGCCCUCUCUUGUCCAUUACUGCCAGAUAUUGUAAGGUUGGCAGAAGGAAUGAGUGAGAAGCAGUUUCUGAAUAGGUGGUGGCCAGACCAGAGCUGAGAAAUUGUGUAUGUUAAAAUGGAAACCAUUCAGGUUGCUGAGAGUUGUCAUAUCAAGGUCUAGAUAGAUUGGGGAACUGGUAGAACUUUGAAACAAACAAACCCCAAGAAACUGGAAUUUGGAGCAACUUGCUUUCUAAAGCAUUAAUUAGUAAUAUUAGUAGACUUCUCAUAUCAGUAAUUCAGGUUCAUACUAACAAUAGCUUUCACAGUCUGGUUAACAUGCUCUAAAAGUGGCACUACCAUGUCAAGUAAAUGCCCUUGAACUUAGAACUGCCAUAUACGAAUUUUGACUUUUUUACCAAGGGGGAAAAUUCUAGCAGAACAAUGAGUCAAUCUUUUACUAUGUUGCCCAAGUCUGAAGCUCUUUAGAGAGUUUUCAGAGAAUUGCUUAUGCAAUACCAGUUUGUUCACUGUUGCCUCAGAGGGCUCACAUUAAUCAUCUUCUGAAAGUUCUUUGUUUAGGUGUACAUUAUACCUGAGCUGACUUCUGAGUUAAUCAAACCUGUUCACAGGUCUCAAAAGGUCUGUGGGUGGAAAACCACAAGGUAAUUGGACCAGGACUCCUAUUUAAUCCUAUCUCAGUUCAUUCUACCUUAUCUAGUGCAGUUUAUUCCUUAGUCUAAAGUGUUGCAACCGUUUUAAAACACUGGAGAAAAGGAGUAGGCUUUGGUCCCUAGGACGCUACUGCUUGCAUGAGCCAGGUUCUAGGUUCCCAGCUCUCCUGCCACCUUGUGUAGAUGCUAGGCUAGAGUAUUUUUGCUCAAAUUUAGAAGGUCUGUGUGUGACCCAGUUGCCCAAGAGAAAACCAGUGUUUCCUUCUCACAACACUGUUAUCAUCUAUCCUUUGGAUUUCCUGACAGUCUGUUUGCUUGUGGACUCCUUUCCGUCUCUUAUUAAUGUCUACAUAUGUCACACACAUGUAUGAAUGUCACAGGGAUGUGAAAAUGUCUAGAUGCAAUUACACAUAUAAAUAAAAAUGCCAGAUAAACACAAAUAGUAAAUGGAACCAAAAUCCAAACUUAGUCUCUGGACUGUUCUUAUUGUAUCUCAACACAGCAAGAGAAUAAUAUCCAUACUUACUAUUAUGUCUUUACAGAGGAAAUAGCAUAAAGGACCGACCAUGCAGUGAGGUUGUUACAGGCAACUCUUAGUGAAGUAUCAGCCUUGUAUUUAUAAGUUCGCUCUUUACAUCCUCUCGGGUAUCUCUUGCUGCCCAAACAUGCACUGGGCUUAAGCAGUUGUAUAUUGGGCCAGGCAGGGUUUUGUGUAUGUACUUGAUGUAUUUGGACUUCUUCGUGCUUUUCUUGUAAAUUUCUCUGUCAUCUAAUGGGUUAGGAAGGAAACAUACAGUUCUCAAAUGAAUAUCAGUGACAGGAUUAUAGUUUUCUCUGAUUUUUUUUAACUGAAGAAGAAAACGCGUGAACUGGACUAGAAGUUUUGAUUUUUAUGAAACUAAGAAAAUGUGUUCCUUUGCCGCAGUGACUUUCCUCAUAAAUUAAUGUUUCCAGCAGAAAUAAGCUUCCAACUUAAAUAUAGUGGAAGAAGUAAACUGAUAGAUCUGAUGUUGGUCAAUAAGAAAGAGUUAAAAAUUAGUUCCCCACUGAGACAGUGUCCAAAGUAUUCCAGUGCUAGUUUGUUGUAUAAGCUUAGCACGUUUUUCUUCACUUGGUUCUCCAAGGUUCUGUUUUUCAUCAGAAGAAAACAUUGUGUCAUGUUAAUAUACAAUAGCUAAAAAAUCCUGCCCUGGGAUACUGCCCUUGGUGCUGUGACAAGGAUCACUGUCAGAUUUCCUAAAGUAUGAAGCACCCUGUGUUCUGUUUUCACCAAAUAUAGUAGAUCACCUGAGAACUGUGUCCAUUGCUGCUACUGUUUUAAAGCAGCUGGUUAUCGGGCAGUAGCAAACGCCGUUUAUUCAUCUCCUUAAAAAGAAAACUCAGCAUCAUGAGUCUGUGAGAUCUCAGUAUUUCUUUGUCAUAAAAAGUUAUUGAAACAUUGAACAAGUAUACCAGAAAGUCCACAAAGGAAAAAUGCUUUACUAUCCUUCUGUUCAAACAUAUAUGUUUUACGUUUUUACGUAUGUCCCUUCAGUACUGGUCCAUUUUUGUAGCCGUACAAUUGUGUUAUUUUGAAAGUAACAGUGUACUUUAAAAAGUGUCAUAAAUACAUAAGGUAUGGAUGACUUAAGUGAAUGUGUUACAUUGAUACAUUAUGCCAAGUUAUUCUUGAAAUUGCUUUCAUUUUGAUUAAUUUUCUCAUGUAGAUAUGUGUUUCUACCAGUCUGAUAUCAUGACAAAUUAUCUUUAAAAUAUUUGAGUCAAAACUAGGGUUUUUGUUGUUAAUUUUUCUGGUUUUUUUGCCUUUCUUAAGCAUGACAGAGAUGUGAACCAUGCCAGGAUUUUUGUAUAUAUAAUUUAUUAGCUGAAAAUACUAACUUAAUGUUUCUUGACCUCAGUUUUAAUCACUACAAAAACCUAGUCAUCCCUGCUUUGUUAUUUGACUUUCUGCUCUGGUAAGUCGUAUUCGUAUAGCUCUAGCAGCAAGCAUUGUUGAUUACACAAUUGCCUGAUGUAACAUUGAUUGGCAGCCCUUUAUAGAGACAUUGCAUGAUCUCCUAAGAAGUACAUGGCAAUGCUUACCCAUGUAGAAGGUUGUGCAAUCUAAUGCAGUAAUUAAGCUUUGAUUGUUGCUCAUUGUGACCUUAAAAUUUAAAAGCUGGUACAAUAAGGAGAUAGUUGUUUUUCUCAUUCACAAGUUGAUAACCAAACUGCUAUAAUGGAAAGUAAGCUGAAUAGAUUAAGUAUAAACAAAAGGAAAUAUGGCAGCCAUGGACCAGAAGCUGAAGAAUGUGUCACACAUAGGAGUCAUAUAGGCAAGUCUAGCUUUUAUGCAGUCAUAUCCAUACUUUUGUGUUAGACUUGCCCUAAGUAGUGGUGGUGUUGAUUUUUAGUCUAUGGCUUUGCUGAUUCUAUUUUUGUUUCCGUUCUUUAGCCCUUCCUUUCCGGCCCUUUAUUAUUACUCCGAGAGGGGGGUCAUGCCCACCACAGCAUGUGUGUGAAGGACAACUUUAUGGAGCGGGUUCUGUAGCUUUACCUUUACAUGGGAUCCAAGGAUUAAGCUCAGGUCAUUAGAAUUGGACAACAAAUACUUUUAUCUACUGCGCCCUCUCACUAGCUCCCUACCUUUUUUAAAUGUUAUUUUUUAGCAUAGCAUUUUAGUUCUGUUACCUUUUUUAAUGCUACAUUUCCUAGCGAUUUUAUAAUAGUUACUAUAGAGAUUAUAAUAUGCUUCUUUAAUUUAUUAUUACCAGUUUAAAACCAGUGUCAUUUAACACUAAAAAUAAUUAUAUACACAUAAUUACAUGCAUUUACAUACAGGUCCAUUUACCUUGCCACUUCUUAGUACAGUUAUUGUCACUUAUAUCACAUAUAUAUUAAAACCCAAAAUGCAGUGUUAUAAACGUUUCUAUAGGUAGUCAUAUACUUUUAGGAAAGUAAAAGAAGAUAUAAAAUGCUAUUAAUGCCUGGGUAGUUUUGUCUCUAAAAUAAAUCUUGUACAUAAUGAUUUAUUAGUUAUGAAUAUUCCCAACAGUUACCUUUACCUCUUCAAGAGGCAAACUCAGUAUGGCAGAUGGCGAGGUUAGUGCUGAGUGAUCACUUGGUCUCAUUCACUUUCAAUCUGUUUCUGUCAAAUAUCAUAAGAGUGGUUGUCCCUUAGGUUUGCCCACUAAAAGGACAAAAUUGAAUAUCCAGAGUCCUUUACCUUCCAGAAGAUUUACUUAAUGCAUUUGAAAUCAUUUAUAGCACCCCAUUCCUUAUUUACUGUACAGUAUUCUUGACCUGAGGUUUGUGGAGUCUCCCUGUUUGGAUUAUGCAGCCACUGUGUGGCAGUGUCACAUUACUGGAAGCUCUGCUUGAGCUCACUACUGCAGUGUAGAACUCCCAUUUCCUCCCUGUAGGGCAGAAAAGCAGAGGUGCUUUGGGUUAUAGUGACACCUGCUGGUGUGCUUUUUAUUUUUUCUAGGCCACUUUGAGAAGGAAUUGUUUCAUACCUUAGAAUGUCAUAAAAGGCCUCCCUUUUCUGUCACCACAUGCUCUUGUAUAGCAUAUCCCCAAGCCACAGAGGAGGCAGCAACCAACAUUUGGUUUUACAAUUGGCUUGAGAGAAAGAUCUAUCCUCGUCCUACAGAGGGAAUUAGACCAAAAGGAUGAUGACAUGGUUAUAUGUUUAUAUGUUAAAGUUAGAAACGACUGCAUGGCAAUACCACAGGAAAUGCUUCUGAGGAUAGGUACUCUGAGAGAACAUAACAUGCCUGACAUAGCAUGAGGUGUGAUCAUGUUAUUUUAUCAUUUUACAACAUCUGAGGAUACUCAAAGACAGGGUUAACAGUUUUAUUCCAUUUCUGUUAAAGUUUUCAAAUGAAUACUGGACAAUGACAGAAAUUCAGUCACAAAGCACUGGUGCAAUUUUUAAACUUGUAUAAAUGUUGCAGGACUAGAUUCCUUUUUAAAAGUUAAUAUUGACACGAAGGUUAAAAUCAAUUUUUCCCAGCCCCCCUCUUCUUUCUCUGGUUGUAUUACUGGCAUCAUUUAUCUGUGGCUUUCCAAUACCCUUUUCCAACAGCACACAAACAUACUUUGUCGCUUGAUUGUAGACUUAACACACUAGCUAGUUGUUAAAAGUUACUUUGUCCUAAAGCUGGAGAGACAGAACAGUCUCAGUAUCUUAAGUCAUGCCACUGACAAUUUGAUAUUCUAUCACAGUGACAAUUGUUUUUAACAUGCUCCAGUAUGCCUGCUGGAUGUACAAGAUUUAACUAAAAGAUUGAUAGUACUGUGAUUUUUCCAGUUAAAUUAAAACAGUGAUUUACUUGUACAGUUGUCUAGUAAGUGUUCCAAUUUGGCAACACUGGUCAAAAUACCUUUUAUUUGGCCACUGCCACACUUCCAUCACCAUGGUCAUAGCCAAAAUUAGCUAACUUUUCAACAGAAGACCCGCACUUGGAGAGAGGACUAAAAUUGGCUGUGAGAAGAUUUUAUUUGAACAUUUUUGAUUACAUCAUUGAAAAUUCAUAUCUUUCGUCAUUCAAACCUUUAGAAUCCCUGCGUCUGUGUGUGUGUGUGUGUGUGUGUGUGUGUGUGUUUAACUUGGAUUUUCCAAACUUAAAACACCAGUAGGAAGUAUUUAUAUAUAUGUAUAUAUAAGUUACAACAAGUUUAUCUGUUAUUGUUUUCUUCUGAGAACAAUAGCAUAAAUGAAACAGUUAAGCAUAGAAGAGAAAAACAAUGGUUACUAAGUCUUGGGCUUAAACAGGAUGAUUUCAGUUAAGGCACGAAUCUAGACAGAAAAUCAUCAAACCGGAGAUUCAAAGUAGGUAGCAUAUCUAGCUGGGAAAGGGAACUUUUUCUUUGAGAUGAACACAAGAAGUUAAUUAAACAGAAUAUAGUUUUUUUUUUAGAACAAAGGGUAUUUCCAUUAAAUUGGGGAACUUUUGGGUAAGAUAAAGCUCUGGAUUUUGUGAGGAUAGUAUUUUUUAUUCACUUUACGACAUACUGCUAGUAUGCUCAUAUAGCACUGUAGUGAGAUGGUCUCUGCUGCAGUUAGCAUCCAAGAAAGUGCCACCCAACUAGAAUACGUUGUGACAAAAUGAAGUUACUGUUGAAUAGAACUAUUGGAACUGUUUCCUUUCAUUCGUCUCCAUUUUUAAACUGUUUACAUGGACUUCUUCUAUGAAGUUACUUUUCACCCUGACUUUUCUUCAUUUGGAAUUCAUCACGGAAGUAAAAUUUAAAAAUCAGGUGACUCUCAGGGAAGGUUAACAUUUCACAAGGUCUUGUUAUCACUUAAGGAAAGAUUUAUUUUAAUGUGAUCAGUUCUCCUAACAAAGAGUACCAUAGAAAACUAAAAUCGUUGUACUUUGAAUUACUGAGAAAUCUAAAAGAAUUUUUGAGAAACUGUUGGGUUUUUUUCCUAGAAAGUUAAAACCAAAUAAUUAUCUUGAAAUCAUUAAAUUGGCAAACAUUAGAUAGCAAUGUUCACAUAGUUGAAAUAUUUACUGGUUAUACUCAAUAAAUCCUGGCUCCUUGUUUUGGAUUUUCUUCAAAUCCAAUGAAGUUGAGUGAAACUAAACUAAUCUUGAUUUCACAAAGAGAAAAUAAACCAUGAGUUGGUGAUAGACGAGCAUGCAGAGUAUAGUGAUGUGGAAAGGACAGACUAGAUAGUUCCUCCAGGGUGAUGGGGCAGAUUUAGCCAAAGAUCAAAGGGGACUGCUUUGGAGGAGAGAUGAGUGAUUAAGGAUCUGACAGUAGGGCCUACUUAGAUGGGUGAUCAAAAGUACGAAAACAGUUGAAUGACAAAUGGGCUUCUUGAAGUUCUUUUAGAUGUCAUUCUUUCAGUGCAACAUAAGUCCAAUAUGCAGAAGCCUGGUUUAGGAGCCUUCCAUCCAGACUCUGGGUGACUUUCCACAACUUCCUCUUCUUGGAAAGCCUUAUCACUAAAGGGAUUAUUUUCAUUUCCCCAUCUCUGUUUUUCUCUUUGUAUUUUCUCAUAUUUGUUCUUUCUAGCUUUAGUACUAAAAUACCCACACACUAAGCUGUUUUCCCAUUUACACUGCCUUGCAUUUAUAUCAACCAUCUUCCUUCCCUAGCACCUGUGUCACUAGCCUCACAUGUCACCCCAAAUCUUCUAGUUGGGUCUCUAUAUAGACUUUUAUUUCUCCAUGACUUGUUUCUGAUAAAUUUCAAUACACACUAUCCUCCUCAGUGUGCAGCUCUCUCGGUCCCAAUAACACAUCUUCGUCUAACAACUUUAUUUAAUAUUCAGCAUUUUCUCAGUUACCAUCUAACUCUUGACCCACUACACUACCCCUCCACUGAGAUUGAGACAUAUGUCCUGCAGAUUAGGUAUUGUUUUGAGGAAAAAUGUUAGUAGUACUCCUUACACCUUACCUAGCAUUUGCAACAUUGGUAUGUAGCAGGUACCUAUAAAUGUAUGUCUAAUGCAUGAAUGAGUGAUUUGUGUCUGUUCCUGAAUUUUGUGCCACUCUGGUACAUAGGUGGUAAUUUCAUCAUGUAGGCUUGUUUUAUAGUAUAUAGUAGCCGUGAUGACUUUAUUUUUCACUACCCAACAGAUCAAUAUAGCAAAGAACUCCAAGAACCAUCUGCGUCAUUCAUUCUUAGAGAAGAAAUUAGGACUUAAUUUGCUCUGUUUGUGUAUAUGCCUCCAGUUAUAUAUGACUUUAAAUUUCUAACACUGUGUUAGAUUAUUUAGUGUACUAUUUUAAUGCAUGUAAUUUGUAUUCCAACCAACAUACUUACUCUGCUCAUUUGAUUGAUUUAUGACUUUAUAACUCAUAAUUAAGAUAACUGCCUAUCAGUAAUUAAACCUUUGGAUAAAAUUCUGUCUGCAGACACAGUUGAACAGUUGUUCUCAGUUCUAGGCAGGAGUAAAGCAGAACAAAGUCACAUAGCUGAGACAAUGAAAAGUUGACUUUGUCUUCCUCACGUUAGAAAACUAUCAUAAUAGCAAGUAGAAAGGAACUGUCUGAGAGCAUUUUUGAGAAAGCGGAAAAUUAGUCAAAGUUCAAAAUUAGUCAAACGCCUGAGUGUUUAGGGUCAAACCCAGAGAUCCCAGGAAAAUCCUGUUGUGUGCAGAACAGGAACUGAGCAUUCAUCAGUAGUAAGCAGCCUGUAGCCUUCUUACCAGCUCAAGACCUAGAACCUCUUCUGCUGUAACACAUUAUGGUCUCUCCAAAUGCUGCUGGGCUCCUGAGGCUUGCGCUUCUCACCGCCAACCUGCUCUAGAGAGCACUGAGUGACAGAUACUGUAAACAUCCUACACUCUCAGCUGUGAAAAGUAAGAAAGCUGGGAGAAGGCUGUUUACUCUCUCUGCCUUGGAAAUCAGCUAAAGCGAAAUGAAUCUUAGAUGGCCUAUGUCUUAUAGUUAACCCUAUCACUGAUCUGCUAUGGGACCAACUCUAAGAGGUAAAAGGGUGAGCUAACUCCUUCAUGAUAAGAAAUGCAAGAAACUUUGUGAGACUGGUUAUAUUUUAACUAUUUAAGAAGACCAAGUGUGGUGCUGUGUCCCUAUAAUCCCAGUACUUAUGACGAUGGGUCUGUUGGAUAAUGACUGAAAAGCAGAUUGGGCUACCAUGCCAGAUUUAGGUUAACUAUCCACUCACAAGAUGAAAGCUUAGUUAACCAGUUUGAGACUACAUUUCAUGGAUUACUAUGGGUAGCCUGGUAUAUGAAAGCAAUAAAAUGUAAAUGCCUGCUUGUUAGUCCAUCAAUUUUUCAUUAACCUGGCUAGCAUUUUAUACACUGAGUUUGUGUUUUUAUGGUGUCUGGGACAUGUUGCUUUAUCAGGGAUCAGAGGCCGUGGUGAUUCUCAUGCAGAAAGAAUGGUAUGAUAUGCAAUAUGACUAAAGCCUGGUAUUUAAAGACAAUAUAAUUAUACUUUUCCAAAAAAAGGUAGGGUUGUGAGGUACAGUUUUUAAUCAAAAUUUUAAUAAAAAUCUGUAGAACUCACUUCCAGGUUCAAUUUUAAUCUGAAAAAAUCCACCAUUUCUUUUUCUUGUAACUCAGUUAACCUCAUCGAGAAUUUGGACUUCUCCAAAAUCUAAGUUUUUUCCUUGAGUAUUCUAGUAAGCAUCUGUGACGGAGCUACAUCCCCAACCUAAGUUUUGGUUUUGUUCUAAUCAAUAUCAAAAAAGUCUUCUUUUCAGAGAUAAUAUAAAGUAUGUUCUUAAACAGCAAGUUCCUAAAAGGUUACAAUUCUUAAUGCUUAUAUUAGAUUUUAUUUACACAUAUUUAUUCAUGUGUAUAACCUUGGUAUACUAGCAUAUUGCCUUAAAUACAUUAGAAGAACAUUUUACUUCCCUUGAUCUUUAAAUAUAGCAUAUAAGACAAUAAGAAGUAUUGCUUCAUGUAGGUCUAGUAAAACUAUGCAUAAAUGCAGUGACUUCAUUCAGCAUGAGAGUUCAAGUAAGUUUUGGACAAACUGGUCUUGAAUUAGUUACAGACACUGUUGAAGACACUUGGAUGAGUCAUGAACCUUUCUAGAUUUGCCUUCAGGCUUAAACCCUCUUGAUGAUGAUGUUCUUUUAUUGUCCUGAAAGAAACACUUGCUAUUGAUGUUUCAAUUUAUGCUUUCUGUCAGAGAUGUAAACUAUUCUGUAACUCUUCUGGAAGUUGGUGGAGUGUGACACUACAUGUGCUCUCCUUACUUUUCACUCCUAAAUUAACAAGGAGGAUAUUAGGCUAUUCCAGAUCAAAGCUGAUAUUAUUAAAGAAAUAUUUAUUGAGAACCAACUGUGUGCCAGUUUUGGGGAUAAUAGCUACUUUAGAAAAAAAAUGCUUUGCUCUCUUGGGACUUAGAAAUAAAGUGUAUGUCAUGAUAGAUCUGUUUGUGUUCCCUGUAUUUAUGUAAAAUAUCCAGUUUUAUUCGGUGAUAUUUUUGCCUUUUCAGUCUUUCAAUAGCAAAUGAAAUUUAAUAUUUCAGAAUUCUUAUUUCAUUGUGGAACAGUUCUAGACAUAAACUGUUGUCUUCCUCAUAUGUUCUUAUUGUAGCCAUACUGAAUGUGACACGACUGACUUGUGUGAGUAAGCAUGCUUGAGGGGUCAAUGUUUUUUGAUAUAUUACAUAUACAUGUAGCAUGUAUUUGCUGAAAAGAUAUUGUUAACCAGAUAUAUGAAUUUUGUUUGUAUAUUUAGUAUAUGUUAUGUAAAUAUUGUAAUUGUGCAAAAUAAACUUAAUUACUUUGAA